AACAGGCAUCAGUAGAAGCAAUGCUCAAGACUGCCAUGCAGAGUCAGCUUGAUGGCGUGCGUACUGGUUUGAGUCAACUGCAGGCAGCGCUAGUGGAUCUGAAGGAGAUAAAAUCAGGAUCAACAGAGAUGGAGACAAGCUUAGUGAGAGUUCCAGAAUUAAGUGAGCAGCUGUACGAAUGCCGGGAGGAGUAUGUUCGUCAUUCCCAGUAUGCUGCUGCGAUGGAAAAUUUAAAGCAUAUUUUUACAGUUUCCAGAGUCUGUUGAUAAGACACGGAAGUGGAUUGCUGAAGGAAAGUUAUUAUAUGCCCAUCAGAACCUCACAUCAGAAAGAAGAUACUGAACGAACUUAGAAAUUAUCAUCAUGAGUUUGAAACAUCUCCGCCUUCAUACCCAAAGAAGAUACUGACUUAGAAAUUAUCAUCGAAACCCAAGACACUCCAAUGAGGAUGGAGAGUCAUAACAAACCGACCUUAGCAUAAAUUAUCACAGGUCUA